rnacentral:rRNA from 1 species
ACGAACGCUGGCGGCGUGCUUAACACAUGCAAGUCGAACGGAAAGGCCCUGCUUUUGUGGGGUGCUCGAGUGGCGAACGGGUGAGUAACACGUGAGUAACCUGCCCUUGACUUUGGGAUAACUUCAGGAAACUGGGGCUAAUACCGGAUAGGAGCUCCUGCUGCAUGGUGGGGGUUGGAAAGUUUCGGCGGUUGGGGAUGGACUCGCGGCUGAUCAGCUUGUUGGUGGGGUAGUGGCUUACCAAGGCUUUGACGGGUAGCCGGCCUGAGAGGGUGACCGGCCACAUUGGGACUGAGAUACGGCCCAGACUCCUACGGGAGGCAGCAGUGGGGAAUAUUGCACAAUGGGCGGAAGCCUGAUGCAGCAACGCCGCGUGCGGGAUGACGGCCUUCGGGUUGUAAACCGCUUUCGCCUGUGACGAAGCGUGAGUGACGGUAAUGGGUAAAGAAGCACCGGCUAACUACGUG